UGUAAUCUCUCAACAUCUGGAAUAUAUUACAUACAUUAUGAAAGGGACACCUGUGCAAUUUAUUUAGUUGUCCAAGAAACCCUUACUAAGUUUACUUUCUUUAAUUUUGAAAUACAAGUUUGGUAUAAGCUACUGCUACGUAGUUACUAUUGUAGGUGUGCAUCUGACCAGAUGCAACAAACAUUAACAGCUUUCUAGUGCAAAACUAGUUUAACUUGAUUAAGUUCUUUUCCCUCCCCUAAUUCACAGCAGCUAGAGCCCACAAGUUCCUUAAUUACCACCAGAUUUUCUUCAUCAAUGUCUGGAGACCAUAUUCAUGAUUUCUAUAAGACAGAAAUACAGUAUGUAAAACGCAUUUGGGGUCUGGGCAUGGGAUUUCUGGGAACAAUCUGAUGCAUAUGAAAAGGCUAUAUGACAGUUAUCAAGCACAAAGAUUAAUCUUUACAAACGCCUAUUAAAUAGGCUAUGGCAAAUAAGCCUUUAAUUGUUUUUGGGG